UAACGGCCCACCAAAGGCGCCACCCAACGCCUCUCCGCAACGGAAAAUUAAGAAAAAAAGAAAACGAAAUCGCAAAGUUCGGGUCCGAGAUCCGGCGAGCCUCGUCGGGUUUCGACCACCUGAAUUCGAAUCAUUAGUUUCGGAGCUCCGAAACGCACCGUUUCUCUCCUCUCGUCGACUUCGAGUUCUCCGACAAUGAAGGGGUCCGGCAGUCUGGUCGCGUCGGUGGUCGCCGUUUCGACGGUGGCUCUGACGACGUCGUCACCGUCCAACCAGGGUUCUUCUUCCCCGGCGACGAAGAACGGCGGACAAAAUUCGAAUUCGGCGUCGGAUAAGGAUAAAUUCGAGCCGAGAUUCGACGGGUUGAGGUUCAUUGAGACGCUGGUGACGGCGCACAGAUGAUUAAUUUGACGGCGGAGCUCUGGAGUUAAUUGUCAGCCCCGCGAUUAGAAUUCAAAGGAAGAAAACUUGUGCUUUCCUUUUUCUUUCCUCUUUAUUUUUUCUUAUUUUUCCGAAGUUGAAGACUUUGGCUUCGAUUUGUGAUUGGGUCCCUUUUGGGUGUUUAAUUUAGGUUCUCCAAUCUCAUAAUUCAUAUUAAUUACCAUUUAAUCUCAUAUUAAUUCAAUGAGAAGCUUUUUCUUUUUCUU